rnacentral:tRNA from 1 species
GCCCCCGUGGCGGAAUGGCAGACGCAGUGGACUUAAAAUCCAUCGCCUUUUGGCGUGCGGGUUCGAUCCCCGCCGGGGGCA